rnacentral:rRNA from 1 species
AAGACCUUUGCACUUUUGGAGCGGCCGAUGUCUGAUUAGCUAGUUGGUGGGGUAAUGGCCUACCAAAGCUUCGAUUCAGUAGCUGGUCUGAGAGGACGGCCAGCCACACUGGGACUGAGACACGGCCCAGACUCCUACGGGAGGCAGCAGUGGGGAAUUUUGGACAAUGGGGGCAACCCUGAUCCAGCCAUGCCGCGUGAGUGAAGAAGGCCUUCGGGUUGUAAAGCUCUUUCAGCCGGAACGAAACGGUUACGGUUAAUACCCGUGAUUACUGACGGUACCGGAAGAAGAAGCACCGGCUAACUACGUGCCAGCAGCCGCGGUAAUACGUAGGGUGCGAGCGUUAAUCGGAAUUACUGGGCGUAAAGCGUGCGCAGGUGGUUUUGUAAGUCAGAUGUGAAAGCCCCGGGCUCAACCUGGGAAACU